AAAGACUUAGUCCUAACCUUACCGUUAGUUUUUGCCAGACAUAUACAUGCAAGUAUCCGCGCCCCAGUGUGAAGGCCCUUAAUCCCUAAGCCACAGGUAUAAGGAGUCGGUAUCAGGCACGCUCGCUGCAGCCCAAGACGCCUAGCUCAGCCACGCCCCCACGGGUACUCAGCAGUAAUUAACAUUAAGCAAUAAGUGAAAGCUUGACUUAGUUAUGGUAACACUAGGGUUGGUAAAUCUUGUGCCAGCCACCGCGGUCACACAAGGGACCCAAAUUAACCGUGAACGGCGUAAAGAGUGGACCCAUGGUUAUCAUAAUAAUUAAGGCCGAAAUGUAUCUGAGCUGUCAUAAGCCCAAGAUCCCCUUAAAGUCACCCUAAAGACGGCCUUAGUCUAUGAGAUUAAUUAAAUUCCACGAAAGCCAGGGUACAAACUGGGAUUAGAUACCCCACUAUGCCUGGCCCUAAAUCUAGAUGCUUGCCCCACUAAAGCAUCCGCCUGAGGACUACGAGCACAAACGCUUAAAACUCUAAGGACUUGGCGGUGCCCCAAACCCACCUAGAGGAGCCUGUUCUAUAAUCGACAACCCGCGAUACACCCGACCACUUUUUGCCAAAAACAGCCUACAUACCGCCGUCCCCAGCUCACCUCCUCUGAGAGAACAACAGUGAGCGUAAUUGCCCUAACCCCGCUAACAAGACAGGUCAAGGUAUAGCCUAUAAAGUGGAAGAAAUGGGCUACAUUUUCUAACCUAGAAAACCCCCUAUACGGAAAGGAAUAUGAAAUAACUCCUAGAAGGCGGAUUUAGCAGUAAAGUGGGAUAAUAAUGCCCUCUUUAAACCGGCUCUGAGGCACGUACAUACCGCCCGUCACCCUCCUCACAAGCUUCAACCCCAAUAAAUAAUCCAUUAACCCGCUAAAGAUGAGGUAAGUCGUAACAAGGUAAGUGUACCGGAAGGUGCACUUAGAACAC
rnacentral:ncRNA from 1 species